rnacentral:rRNA from 1 species
CAGAGGUGCAAGCGUUGUUCGGAAUUACUGGGCGUAAAGGGCGCGUAGGCGGCCUUCUAAGUCAGACGUGAAAUCCCCAGGCUUAACUUGGGAACUGCGUCUGAUACUGGAGGGCUCGAGUGCGGGAGAGGGAUGUGGAAUUCCAGGUGUAGCGGUGAAAUGCGUAGAUAUCUGGAGGAACACCGGUGGCGAAGGCGGCAUCCUGGACCGACACUGACGCUGAGGCGCGAAAGCUAGGGGAGCAAACGGGAUUAGAUACCCCGGUAGUCCUAGCCCUAAACGAUGAGUGCUUGGUGUGGCGGGUAUCGAUCCCUGCCGUGCCGAAGCUAACGCAUUAAGCACUCCGCCUGGGGAGUACGGUCGCAAGGCUG